rnacentral:lncRNA from 1 species
GACUCUCCACCUUAUCAUCGUCGAUCCUGAGCGAACUCCCAUCUCUUGCCCUCACUGGCAUCAAUCUAUCAUGCGUGCUCCAAACUCCCUCAUUGUUUCACUGUCAUGCCACUAUCGACCUCGCCCUUGCUGCCCUUUAGCUCCACCAAGAUUCUUCUUCACUUCCAGCUCUUGAGGUAAAGUAAAUCAUUCUUGAUUUCUGUUCUAUUAUUUGGGGAU